rnacentral:lncRNA from 1 species
UGCACAAAUAUUUGGUCUAGUAACAAACUGAAAAGGGUCAAAACAGAAAGAGGUGAGAUUUGAAGGCAAAGACAAAGAAUUGAGCUUGGAUUGGAAUUCUUGGAGGCAAGAAACAGAAGUUUCCAAAUUGGGUAAACGGAAAAGAGAAGUUUCUUUAAGGUGUUGUGCCAUAGCAACACCAAAAAGGGACAAAAGAUUCUGGCAGCACUUUCCUUUGCCUGACGUGGGAAUAUCAGAACCAUUGGAAAGCUGAGGAGUUGAAUUCAGAACUUUACAGUUAGAACUAGACCAUGGGACUCUUAAAACAUACCCAAAAUCUAAAGGACAAGUUGAAGACGAGUUAGUGCUACUUUGAGCUGAUGAAACUGAAAGUACCCAAGAAAACAAACAGAACAACAAACACACAAUCCACAAAUCACCUUUCAUCCUAAGUACUUUACUUGUGACGUUUGAUAUUACCCACGAAAAGGAAAAAAAAUGGGAUCUUUUGAUUCAAGAAACCAUUUUUAAUGUGCCCAAAAAGUGUUUUGAUGAUUGAUGAUCUGUAUGUGGAGUUUUUAUGCAAGAAGGUGUGCCAGGGUCAAAGGUUAGGUUCACUUUCUGUUUAUGAAUCUUAAAGGUUUAGUAAAGGCGGCUGACUUUAUAAAGUAGUACUAACUGAAAAGGAAAAAUCAAAUAGGAACGUGCAUGAACAAAAGCUCCUUAGAUGACAAUUUUAAGAUAAUGUAAUUUCGAUAACAAAGAAAUAUUUAGGUGAUUUCCUAGAAACAUCAAAGUUUAGUAAGGGAUUUUCUAGUUAUUUGCCAGAUGUCACCACUGAAACUAAAAGUGAACAAGAUGCUUGUUCAGCGGUCAGUCUUGAUGUCUCCUUUGCCUUUCUUACCUCAUCACCCAUUUAUUGGGUCAUCUUUAAUGGUUGGAUUGGGAUAAAAGAAUUUAAACGUUGGCUGGAUUAAUAUUAGGAGAAAACAAAAUUAACAUAGAUGCCACGUAGGUAAAUAAAGGUGGUUAUAUGAGAAUUAACAUUAUAAAGGAAAAUGUUCGCCCAAACUGGAUGACAAACGCAAUUUAACAAUGGAAAGAUGUAACUUAAAUUUGUGUGGGAAGAUACAAAUCUGACCAGUUUCUGUACCCAUUAAUGAGAAAAAGGGCCAAAUAAAUGGUACUAGUAAGCAGUAUCUAGCGAGUUUUAGUUCCAAUUUACUGGUUGAGGAAGAAAAAAUCGGCGUAGGUAAAUUUUUAACAUGCAGAUCAAAAUUUAACCUGAUAAAAAUCAUAACAGAUUUUCUGAAAAAGAUUGAACUUUACUGGAAAAAGGUAUCGUUUUCACUCUAAAUUAUAUAAGAAAAAUCGAAGCCACACUUAAACUAUACUAAUCACCUAUUACACACCUAAACUAUAAAAAAGUGAUAAUUUUUUCCAGUAUUAUACCACUUGCAUGUGGUGUGGUGUUGCACACGCGCCUGCCACGUCAGCAUGAUACGAAAAAAUAAUAAAUUUAUUAUUUUCAUAAAUUUUUCUUUUUUCUUUUUAAUUUAAAUUCUUUUUCUUUCCUCUUCAAUUUUUUUUUCUUUUUCUUCAAUAUCCAAAACCUCUAUUAUUACGAGUUCAAUUUUUUUUUUUCAUAUCCAAAAUCUCCAUUGUUGUCCAAAACUUUCAUUGUUAUGAGUUUAAUUUUUUUUUUUCUUCAAUAUUCAAAGCCUCCAUUGUUGUCCAAAACCUUCAUUGUUAUGAGAUCCAUUUUUUUUUCAAUAUCUAAAACCUCCAUUGUUAUGAGCUCAAUUUUUUUUUUUUCUUCAAUGUCCAAAAUCAUCAUCUUCUUCUUCAAUUUCGAAAAAGAAAAAAGAAAAUUAACGGAAUCAUAUUCCUAAUGGGAAGAUGAUAUAAAACCAAUACACCCAAGCAAUAACUUCAUUCAAAUUCAAUAUCAUCUUCUUCUUUUUCUUCAAUUUCUUCAAUGUCCAGAACCAUCUUUUUCUUUUUCUUCAAUUUCCCAAACGACCAUAAUGACAUCUUCUUCUUCCAUUGUUGAUAUAAAAUCAAUACACCAAAGCAAUAACUUCAUUCAAUUCAAUCUUCUUUGUUAUACGACACCAAAAGUUACAACACUAUCACCACUUAAUUGCACCACCCAUCAUCAAAUUCACACAUAAUUACAGUCACCAAAAAUCAAUACGCCUCACCACUAAUUCAUCACCCGACAUCAAAAUAAAUUUUGAGCAAUUUUAACAUAUUAUUAUUAAUUGAGUAAAAUUGAAAGAAGAUUUUUAUAGAGACAAGAUAGAUCUACAAAAAAAGUGUUAAAAAAUUAAUUUUUGAGCAAAAUUCAUAAAAUUUUACAAAGAAAGAACAGAAAUACAAAAAUAAAUUGAAAAAUUGAUGUUCAACGUGAGAGCAAUAACAUUUAAUUAAUUUCAAACGUCUUAUCGAAAAUUUUUUUGAUUGGCGACGAUUUCAUCCUCAAUCUUUUCUAUUUUUUUCUUUAAAAACUAUCAUGAAAAAAUUAUUCUCAUCAACCAUAGUAAAUGAGGAGUGAUUGUGAUGAAAAAGAAAGAAAGAUUGAGAGAGAAAAAAAAUUAGAGAUGGAUGAGAAGUGAGUGUGCGCGCAGGGGUGGGGUUAGGGGUUUAAAGAUUUUUUGCUUUUUUUUUCUCCAGACGCGCCUUAUUUUUUUAAAAAAAUUAAUGUUAUUUCCACGUCAGAUUCAGGUGGAAUUAAGUUCACUUUUGAGAAGAAUAUGUGUGUAAUAGGUCGCCACGUUAGUUUAGGUGUGUAAGUGACUUUUUAUGUAUAGUUCAGGGUGGUUUUGAUGACUUUUCCCAACUAUAUUAUGAAAAGAAUAUCUACAUACUACAGUAUGUUGAAUACAAAAGGGAAAGAUCACAAGCUGUGGAAGAGUCUAUAAGAGUUAGUUAUGUUUGAAUUCUGUUAUAACUGUUUUCUUGAGUCAGUUAGUUACAUUGUGAUUAACAGCUAGUUGAAGUAGUUAGAAAAAAUAGUUGAUUCCUCUAUAAAUACCAAUUAUAUACUAUUGAUUACAUAAGUUGAAUAAACAAGAUCCAUUAUUCUACUCUACUAAACUUCUUCUUCUUUUCUGAUUCUCUUACUCUGUUCUUCUUUUUCUUUUCUUCCUCUUCUUUGCUAUUCAGUGCAUAUCUCAAAGCUAGAGUUAAAGCACUGAUCAAGAAAUAAUUACAUGGUAUCAAAGCCAGGUUAGCUAGAUCAAAACUAGCUAACUUAGUCGAUUCUGAAGAUUGAAAAAGAAAGUGUUCAGUUCAUUCUGAAAGUCUCGGAUACUUGAGUCAAGAUUUGAAGAUUUGAGUCAUGGCUAAUGGUGUGAAUGGUGUCGAAAUUGAUGGUGGAUUAACCAGAAACACAAGAGAUGUAAAUGCAAUAGAUUACAAUCAUCCUCUUUUCCUCAGUCCCUCAGAUGUGAAUGGUAUACAGAUUAUCUCCUUCCAGUUAACAGGUGUGGAAAACUUCUCAAUCUGAUUUAGGUCUAUGCUAUAGCUCUAUUAGGGAGGAAUAAGUUAGGACUUGUUAAUGGUUCUUGCACGAAAGAAAAGUUCUCUUCUGAUAUGGGAAACCACUAGGAAAGAGUAAAUGCUAUUGUGCUGUCAUGUAUUAUGAACUAUGUGUCUAAAGAGUUAUUAGGUGGAAUCGUGUAUGCCUCAGUUGCAAGUAUUGUGUGGAAUGAGUUGUUUGAAAGGUUCAACAAAGUGGAUGGUGCUAGAACUUUCAAUCUGCACAAGGAGAUUGCAACAUUGUCUCAAGGAACAACUUCUGUGUCCUGCUAUUUCUCAAAACUAAAGGAUCUAUGGGAGGAAUUUGAGGCACGUGUGCCUGCUCCUGGUUGUGAUUGCUAAAAAUCAAAGGAUUUGUCCUACAUCUUCAAAAACUGAAGUUGUUUCAGUUUCUUAUGGGUCUAAAUGAAACAUAUACACAGGCUAAAAGCCAAAUACUACUUAUGACCCCUUUGCUUACUGUUAAUCAGGCAUAUGCCAUGAUAAUGAGUGAUAAAAGCGGCAAAUCUGUAGCUAGCUACUAAUGCAGGUGUACUGGGAUCUGGUCCUGUAGGUGUUGGUAGAAGUCUUGACUUAGCCAUGUUUACAAGAAAUAGGACACAAAAAUUCAAGAAGAACUACAACUUGCAGUGUGACUUCUGUAAGCUAAAAGGUCAUACUAACCUGUUGGAAGUUAGUUGGAUAUUCUCAAGAUCACAAGUUCAAAAAGAGGUUUAGGUCUGAAGGAGCUAAUACAGCAUAUAAGGUGACUACUGAUUCUCAAGAUGCUGCAAAAAUGACUACAAGGCAAGGUUCUCAUUCUAGAUCUGUCCAAAGUAACUGGUUCAAUGAUGGAAGCCAUCAAGAAGAGUCUAAAAUGCAGUUGGAUCAACCAGGUCAGAUAGGAACAACAGCCUGUACUAAGAAACAAUAUGAUUAAAUCAUGAAGAUGAUCGACAAAAAUAAUGGUGCUAGCACUUCUACUGAGACAACAAAUGCUGCAAAUACAGGUAUUAGUGUACUUCAUAUGAGGCAGGUAUCCCCCUCUCUCCCUCCUCCUCUUCUUCUCCUUCGUCUUCUUCUUCCUCCUCCUCCCUCUCCCUCUCCUCUUCCUCCUCGUCUUCUCCUUCUUCUUCCCCUCCCCCUCCUCCUCUUCUUCUUCUCUUUCGUCUUCUUCUUCUUCUUCCAUCUUCUUAUCCUUUUUUCACAAAUAAUAUACCUCACUUUAGCCCUCUCAAAGCUCAAUUUCCAUUAGUCUUCUAUUGAAUUUAGUCUUCUAUUGAUAUAGAUUUAUCCUCCAUCACAACAUCCCCAAAAUUGUUUUCAUCCUUUAAUAUCAGUCAUACCUCCUUUUGACAUAAUAAUUAAAACUAUUAAAAACUAUAAACAAAUAAAAAAGAAUGUUAAUCAGCAGGUCUUGCUUUUGGUCUUGGGGAAGACAGAGAGGACAAAAUCUGGGAAGAAUGGAAUGAUGAUUGAAUAAUGUGCAAAUCAUGUGUAGUUUAUCCUUGUACAUGACAUAACCUAACAUCUCUUGUACUGAAAUCAUAAUUUAACUUGGUCUACUGGUCAUAUAAGUAUCAUUUAUGAAUAAUUAAUUACAAAAGAGGAGGUCAAUUCCAUAGUCUCAAUAAGUUUUGAGUCUUAAAUUGAAUGGGUUCAGCAGAAUCAUGUAUUAUAUGAUGUUGAUUGCUUCAUUUGGCCUCUCAAGCAACUUUAAGGGGCUUUCAGAGGCGCUAUCGUCUAGCUUUUGAUAGAGCCAUUAAGGGUACAAGCACUCAAAUCAGACAGCAGAUGUUACACUGUCGUAUGUGCUAACGCAUAUAAGCCUUCGUUGGAGGCAAAGGUAAGUUAUGAUAUCAUAUAUGUUACAUUUGCUGAUACAGAGAGCGGAGGCAAUGUUGUCUAUAUUCAGCUCUAGGAUGGAGGGAUUUGACGAGCAAGAAAAGGCAAUUCCACCACUGUACCCUCAACAUCAUCACCAAUAAUUACACACUCUCCCUCGGAAGCAGCUUUCCUCUUAUUAUAGCCAAGUCCAAGGGGCUGAGAUGCUCGUUUACCAGUACUGGAAACCUUACCAACCUGCAGAAGUUCAUAGCACCAUCAUUCUGGAAUUUCUUCCAAAAGGUCAUACUAGGAUAUAUAAAGUUUCCCAUGCAUUAGAACCCACUGGGAUAGCACCAUGACCUAGAAGAGCUUUCCAGACCGAUUCAGCGGCAGCUGGAGACAUCAGUAGUGAAUAACCUUCUUCAGAGAUUAUAUUUCCCACUCCCACAGUUAUAGGCAUUCCAUUUACCGUCACAUGUUAAUGAAUUUCAUAAGAAAAAGUAAAAUGUCCAACUCCUAUUUCUUGGAAAACUCAGGCAUGACAAUAUGCUCAAGAUAUUGCAAUGAAUCUAACAUAUAGGAUAUGAGAAAACUAAACCAGCAGAAGCUAUACAGUAGAGAAGUUAAGAAGCUAAUACUUCAGUGGUAAGAAAGGACAUUAACUGCGGAUGUUGCAGACAAAUGGCAGAAAACUACAAAUAUUCUACAUUAAGAAGAUUGAUUCUGACAUACAAGAACAGUCAUGAAUGCAGCACGAGGUUGGCUUAAGAGGUUGCAAUUGGAAAUGACAACUAAAUGGACAGAUACUCGUGUUUCUCAAUAAUUAAAGUGAGAAAUUAGUGAAUUGACGCAUGAACUAAAAAUGACAGAGGGUCCAACAAAAUCUGAACAUUUCAAUGAGUCAAAAGCAAUGCAUCUCCUUUGAAAAAGAGAAAAAAACAUUGGAAAUCAUUGUUCGGGUUUGGAUUAUUCGACACAAUUUAAUCACCAUUUUGUAUUGAAUCAGUUUGUUGUCAAACUAGUUCUCUGGUUACUUUACAAGAUAAUCAAUAGUCAGAGCUAUUACCAAUCAUAAGUAAUUCUUUUAAUUGAAUGCUCACUUUGAUCGCUUUCCUGCGACUUUUAUUUCAAUGGAAUUAGCAUAGCAUGGUUGGUUGUUUAUCCAUAAUCGAAAUUUUACUCAUCCUUAACCGGCAUUAAACACUCUUUUAUCUUCUUAGCAGGAAAACAAUUAGGUAGGGAAUGGUUUUUCAAGAACCUUGAAACAUAAAUAUGUAGAUAUAUGACUUUACAGGCAACAUACAUCACAAGGCACCACGGCUAGCUAUAUUACAGAGGAAUAUCAGCUAUUACUAACUUUUACAAUAUAUAUAUAACACAUACCUAUAAAGAAAUGGAAAGCAAAAGAAAAUCUGUUGUUUGCCUAAGAAGAUUGUCAAAAGUUCAGGGUUGUUGGUAAGAAUGAAAGAAAGAAAAAAUUCUGACAUCUUCCAAAAUUUCAACACUAUUUUCCAAUUACCUACAUCCCUGUCUUCCAUCGAAUAGGCAUCAAACUAAAUGUACUCAUGGUGUUUUAAGCUGGAGUGCAAGUAGAUGGUAUGUCUGAUUUCAUUCGACAUUUGAGAUUUCUAAAUAUGUCUCCUUCACUGGAAAUGGAAGCAACAGAAGUCUCCGACAUAUAUUCUUCAAUCAAAAAGUUUCGCAAGCUCUCAUUUCCCAGGUUCAACUCUGCAGAAACUUCAUUAGCUUCCCCAAUCUCAACAAGCAAGAAAUGGAUGCAAUAUGAGAAACUCAUAUUGUCACCUGAGCAUGUCUCCAGCAGGCAGUUGCAAGCAACUCAAGGCUGGUGAUAUGCUGAAUGUGUUACCUUUAGCAUUAUAAAAUGAAGGUUGUCCAAGAGGUGCUGGUCUAUCUGGAAUUUCAGGAACCUCAAUAUCUCCUUCUAACAUUUUCAGUGCAUCCAAUAUAGUUGGCCUCAAGGCCACCAUCACGUGGGCACAUAAUAUUCCAACGAGGAGAAAUCUCACCAUUAUAGCCCUUGGAUUUGAACUUACUGAAUCCUCAGUCUUUACUAGGAUGCUAUCCAAAAUUUCAUUUAUCUUUCCAGCUUUUACCUUCGACCAAGCCCAAUCUGUGAUCAGAAAAUCACGAGGCGAUCCUGAAGAGAAAUCAAGGACCUUCCUUCCACACAUUAUUUCCAAAACAACAACUCCAAAGCUAUAAACAUCGCUCUUCUCAGUCAAUUGCCCAUAGAGAGCAUAUUCAGGAGCUAAGUACCCAUGCGUUCCUGCCACUCUGGUGGUAAGAUGAGAUUCUCCUUCUCUACUUUGCUUAACCAACCCGAAGUCAGCCACUCUCGCUCUCAUAUCAACAUCUAACAGAAUAUUAGUAGCUUUAAUAUCCCUGUGAUAAAUUGCUGGCUUUACCCCAUAAUGCAGAUAAGCUAGUCCUUUUGCCACAUCCAAAAUUAUGUUUUUCCUCUGGGGCCAAGUCAAUGGUUGCUUCAGUAUUCCACCUUGAUUUACAGCACAUAAAUGGUCAUCGAGAUUUCCAUUGGGCAUGUAAUCAUAGACGAGAUAUCUUUCACUCUCCCCACUUUCAAUCCGGUUCUCAUCAGUCACACAACACCCCCUAAGCGGUACAAGAUUACGAUGCUUCAAGUUACUAAUAAUCUCAACCUCAUUGCAAAACUCAUCAUUUCCUUGAAAAUCAGAUUCUAUAAUCUUUUUGACAGCAACAUUAGUCCCAUCUGCUAAAGUUCCUUUAUAAACUAUCCCAAAUCCACCUCUCCCUAUAAAAUUCUUUUGGGAAAAAUUAUCAGUUGCCUUUUCAAGAUCCUGAAUUUUGAACCAAACAGCAGUAUUAGGCCUCAUUCUUCGCCUAGACACGGUAUCUUCCAUUUCCACAUCAUCAUUUUUCCUCCACCUUUUGUUCCACCAGACAUACAGUCCCAACACCAAAGACAUGCAUAAUACUGCCAUACCAGCUCCAGCCAACCCAAAUAUUAACGCUAAAUUUCGCUUGCUUGAUGAACUAGUGUUUUUCAAAUCAAUACUUAAAAUACAUGACAUGGCACCAGUACUUUCAGGACCAAACUCAUUCACAAUACCAGCAGCAUACAAAACAGUGAAGUAAAAACAAUCAGUAGAAUGAGAUGAAUUACCAUCAAUUGCUAUCAACUGUUGCUGAACUCUAAAGCCAGCAGCCACACAACCAGCACAGUCAGUAUAAUCCUCAAAAUCAGACCUGCAACCAGAAUCAAGAGCAGUUGAAGGCCCCAGCUUUUUAUUCCAAUCUUGGAUGGUCAGAAUUGAUGCACAAAUAUUUGGUCUAGUGACAAACUGAAAAGGGUCAAAACAGAAAGAGGUGAGAUUUGAAGGCAAAGACAAAGAAUUGAGCUUGGAUUGGAAUUCUUGGAGGCAAGAAACAGAAGUUUCCAAAUUGGGUAAACGGAAAAGAGAAGUUUCUUUAAGGUGUUGUGCCAUAGCAACACCAAAAAGGGACAAAAGAUUC